rnacentral:rRNA from 1 species
CUUUAGUUUACUAUAGACGAAAGCUUAGUGGCGGACGGGUGAGUAACGCGUGGAGAAUCUGCCCUCAAGACUGGGAUAACAGAGCGAAAGUUCUGCUAAUACCGGAUAUGCUCUGAGUGUCGCAUGGCACAAAGAGGAAAGCACAAGCGCUUGAGGAUGACUCCGCGUCCCAUUAGCUAGUUGGUGAGGUAAAGGCUUACCAAGGCGACGAUGGGUAGCCGGCCUGAGAGGGUGACCGGCCACACUGGGACUGAGACACGGCCCAGACUCCUACGGGAGGCAGCAGUAGGGAAUUUUCCGCAAUGGGCGCAAGCCUGACGGAGCAACGCCGCGUGAAGGAAGAAGGCCUUCGGGUCGUAAACUUUUGUCUUUGGGGACGAUAAUGACGGUACCCGAGGAGGAAGCCCCGGCUAACUACGUGCCAGCAGCCGCGGCAAUACGUAGGGGGCGAGCGUUGUCCGGAAUUACUGG